rnacentral:tRNA from 1 species
GCCCGGUUAGCACAGACGGUAGAGCGCGGGACUUUUAAUCCCGAGGUCAAGGGUUCAAGUCCCUUAUCGGGCG